CCUCCUCCGCCUGUACGCAGGGGGGCGCAGGCCCGGGACUUGCCACCCGACGCCGUCGCGCGAAGCUGUUGUUGGCCUCGCCGGCUCUGCUUGGGCUCUCGUUUGGCGUGCCGCGUGUCUUUGGGCGGGUCGCUGUAGUCGUCGUCAUGGCGACUGUGGCCCGUCCGGCGCGGUGGCGCUUCUCGAUCCUGCUCUGUCCGGCGUGGCCUAGCGCGCGUGCUGUCGGCAAGUACCAUGAGCAUACAUGUUGGGACCCGAAAGAUGGUGAACUAUGCCUGGCCAGGAUGAAGCCAGAGA
rnacentral:rRNA from 1 species